UGCUGUAAAGCAUCCACAGAGUCAGCCAAACUGGGGAAGGCCAGGCAGAUGACACUACCGGCUUCCAGCACAGGAGACAGAAGACCUGCAGAUAGCGAUUACGUAAUAAGAUUUCAUAACCAUAAACCCCAUCCUUUGUCAUUCCAAUUGAUGGCUGUUUUCUUGCCUUUGAGGGUCCCACAGAUACAUCAAAUUCAGCUAUUAUGCAGUUGUUCUUUUCCAUCAGGGCCACUUCUGAUUUUGUGCCUGGCGGACACCGUUGUUAUGCUAAUGUGGAGCAGCCAGCCCUAUCAUCCCCAUCUGUGCCUCCAUGCGGAUGUACCUGAGCCUGGGUUGGAAGAGGCAGGUCACAUGGAGCUAAGUGACACCGAGAGAAGCCCCACAUCAGCCAUGGAGGCUUGAUUACUUUGUGUUCCGAAGGCUUAGAAAUGACACUUUGGCCCGGACCGCAGAUUGCUGCUGAACGGAACAUGGAUUAGUGUAUUUCAGACUAUUACCAUGUCUCACACUCCUUACCCGACGUUCCAGAUGUACAUUAAAUAUCCCAUCUGGUCUGAUAGAGGAACUACAAAGAACUCUGACAUAUUAUACACUGGAACCUGAGUUUUGGCUUAUACUGUAGUUCCCACAGGAAAUUAAUUGUGCUUUGUUAAUUAUACUUGAUAGAUGGUCAUAAAUCCAUUGUAACUAUAUGACAUCCUGUUUAGCAUCAGUACAAAGACGGAUGGUAGUAUAAAUAUGUUUCAGUAGGGGGAGGUUCUGCUUCAGAAAUGAAUAAAAGCUUAGACAAGAUUCAA